rnacentral:rRNA from 1 species
UACGAAGGGUGCAAGCGUUACUUGGAAUUACUGGGCGUAAAGCGUGCGCAGGCGGUUCGUUGUGUCGGCGGUGAAAGCCCCGGGCUUAACCUGGGAAUGGCCGUUGAAACUGGCGAACUGGAGUGUGGCAGAGGGGGGUGGAAUUCCGCGUGUAGCAGUGAAAUGCGUAGAGAUGCGGAGGAACACCGAUGGCGAAGGCAGCCCCCUGGGCUAACACUGACGCUCAGGCACGAAAGCGUGGGGAGCAAACAGG